rnacentral:rRNA from 1 species
AAUGAAUGUUGGCGGCAUGGAUUAGGCAUGCAAGUCGAGCGGGCGUAGCAAUACGUCAGCGGCGUAAGGGACAGGAACACGUAGACUACCUGCCCUCGGGUCUGGAAUAGCCACGGGAAACUGUGGGUAAUGCCAGAUAACAUCUCCGGAUCAAAGGUGUGAUUCCGCCCGAGGAUGGGUCUGCGUCCUAUUAGCUAGUUGGUGAGGUAACGGCUCACCAAGGCAAUGAUGGGUAGCAGGUGUGAGAGCACGACCUGCGUCAUUGGGACUGAGACACGGCCCAGACUCCUACGGGAGGCAGCAGUAGGGAAUAUUGGACAAUGGGCGCAAGCCUGAUCCAGCCAUGCCGCGUGGGUGACGAAGGCCUUCGGGUUGUAAGGCUCUUUUGGCGGGGACGAUAAUGACGGUACCCGCAGAAUAAGCUCCGGCUAACUUCGUGCCAGCCGCCGCCGUAAUAC